AACCCAUGGUGUGGGCAUGCUCUUAGUAAGUCUUUGUAUCUUUCCCCAAGUGUCGUAAAGAGAUUCAUUAUCUUGUUGAAUGAAUCUAGUUAUUUGGUUCAUAAGGAC